rnacentral:rRNA from 1 species
ACCGCAUAAUGUCGCAAGACCAAAGAGGGGGACCUUCGGGCCUCUUGCCAUCGGAUGUGCCCAGAUGGGAUUAGCUAGUAGGUGGGGUAACGGCUCACCUAGGCGACGAUCCCUAGCUGGUCUGAGAGGAUGACCAGCCACACUGGAACUGAGACACGGUCCAGACUCCUACGGGAGGCAGCAGUGGGGAAUAUUGCACAAUGGGCGCAAGCCUGAUGCAGCCAUGCCGCGUGUAUGAAGAAGGCCUUCGGGUUGUAAAGUACUUUCAGCGGGGAGGAAGGGAGUAAAGUUAAUACCUUUACUCAUUGACGUUACCCGCAGAAGAAGCACCGGCUAACUCCGUGCCAGCAGCCGCGGUAAUACGGAGGGUGCAA